rnacentral:rRNA from 1 species
AUUGAACGCUGGCGGCAGGCCUAACACAUGCAAGUCGAGCGGAGCGGCGGACGGGUAAGUAAUGCCUAGGAAUCUGCCUGUUAGUGAGGGAUAACGUACGGAAACGGGCGCUAAUACCGCAUACUAUCAGAUGAGCCUUGGUCGUAUUAGCUAGUUGGUGGGGGAAAGGCCUACCAAGGCGACGAUACGUAACUGGUCUGAGAGGAUGAUCAGUCACACUGGAACUGAGACACGGUCCAGACUCAUACGGGAGGCAGCAUUGGGGAAUAUUGGACAAUGGGCGAUAGCCUGAUCCAGCCAUGCCGCGUGUGUGAAGAAGGUCUUCGGAUUGUAAAGCACUUUAAGUUGGGAGGCGUUACCAACAGAAUAAGCACCGGCUAACUUCGUGCCAGCAGCCGCGGUAAUUC